CACGUAGGGGGCGAGCGUUGUCCGGAUUCAUUGGGCGUAAAGCGCGCGCAGGCGGCUUGUUAAGUCGGGUGUGAAAACUCGGGGCUCAACCCCGGGCGUGCAUCCGAUACUGCCAGGCUUGAGGCAGGUAGGGGAGAUCGGAAUUCCUGGUGUAGCGGUGAAAUGCGCAGAUAUCAGGAGGAACACCGGUGGCGAAGGCGGAUCUCUGGGCCUGUCCUGACGCUGAGGCGCGAAAGCUAGGGGAGCGAACAGG
rnacentral:rRNA from 1 species